ACUAAACAAACAAGCUUGAUGCUAAUCUGUCUGAUGGUUCUCAACCUGUGUGGGUCAAGACGCCCUGGAGGUUGAAUGAUCCCUUUCACAGGGGUCACCUAAGACCAUCAGGAAACACAAAUAUUUACAUUACGGUUCAUAACAGUAGCAAAACUACAGUAAUGAAGUAGCCACAAAAUAAUUUUAUGGUUGGGGUCACCAGGAUCUGAGAACUGCAUUCAGGGCUCAUAUCACUAGCAAGGCCCGGAAGCACUGCCUUUCUGGAAGUGGGAGCACAGGCCGCUCACAGUGUGUAUGCUGUCUGGGAGUGCCCUUCAUCUCUCCCAGCAUUGCCUUGUUGAGAUGAUUCAUGUACCUUCAACAUCUAAAGUGUAUGUAAGAUCCAGUGCACUUAGUAUGUCACAGAGUUAGGUAACUGUUACCACAACUGAUUUUAGAACAUUUUUAUUACCCACAAAAAAAAAAAAAAAAA
rnacentral:lncRNA from 1 species